CGCGGCCUAUCAGCUUGUUGGGGGGGUAACGGCCCACCAAGGCUUCGACGGGUAGCCGGCCUGAGAGGGCGACCGGCCACACUGGGACUGAGACACGGCCCAGACUCCUGCGGGAGGCAGCAGUGGGGAAUAUUGCGCAAUGGGGGGAACCCUGACGCAGCGACGCCGCGUGCGGGAUGACGGCCUUCGGGUUGUAAACCGCUUUCAGCAGGGACGAAUCAAGACGGUACCUGCAGAAGAAGCGCCGGCUAACUACGUGCCAGCAGCCGCGGUAAUACGUAGGGCGCGAGCGUUGUCCGGAAUUAUUGGGCGUAAAGAGCUCGUAGGCGGCUUGUUGCGUCUGCUGUGAAAUCCCGGGGCUUAACCCCGGGCGUGCAGUGGAUACGGGCAGGCUGGAGGCAGGCAGGGGAGAACGGAAUUCCCGGUGUAGCGGUGAAAUGCGCAGAUAUCGGGAGGAACACCGGUGGCGAAGGCGGUUCUCUGGGCCUGUUCUGACGCUGAGGAGCGAAAGCGUGGGGAGCAAACAGGAUUAGAUACCCUGGUAGUCCACGCCGUAAACGUUGGGCGCUAGGUGUGGGGUCCUUCCACGGAUUCUGUGCCGCAGCUAACGCAUUAAGCGCCCCGCCUGGGGGAGUACAA
rnacentral:rRNA from 1 species